AACGAACGCUGGCGGCAUGCCUAACACAUGCAAGUCGAACGAAACCUUCGGGUCUAUUGUCGCACGGGUGCGUAACGCGUGGGAACCUGCCCUUAGGUUCUGAAGAACUCCUCGAAAGCGGUUCAGAUACCGGAUAAUUUCUUCGGACCAAAGAUUUAUCGCCUUUUGAUGGGCCCGCGUUGGAUUAGAUAGUUGGUAGGGUAAAAGCCUACCAAGGCGACGAUUCAUAGCUGGUCUGAGAGGAUGACCAGCCAAACUGGGACUGAGACACGUCCCAGACUCCUACGGGAGGAAGCAGUGGGGAAAAUUGGACAAUGGGCGAAAGCCUGAGCAAGAAAUGCCGGGGGAGUGAUGCAGUUCUUAGGGUUGUAAAGUCUUUUUACACGGGAUGAUAAUGACAGUACCGGGAGAAUAAGCUACGGCUAACUACGUG
rnacentral:rRNA from 1 species